rnacentral:rRNA from 1 species
GACGAACGCUGGCGGCGUGCUUAACACAUGCCAGUCGAACGCUGAAGACCUGGCUUUUGUUGGGUUGGAUGAGUGGCGAACGGGUGAGUAACACGUGAGUAACCUGCCCUCUUCUUUGGGAUAACGCCCGGAAACGGGUGCUAAUACUGGAUAUUCACUGAUCUUCGCAUGGGGGUUGGUGGAAAGGUUUGUUCUGGUGGGGGAUGGGCUCGCGGCCUAUCAGCUUGUUGGUGGGGUGAUGGCCUACCAAGGCUUUGACGGGUAGCCGGCCUGAGAGGGUGACCGGUCACAUUGGGACUGAGAUACGGCCCAGACUCCUACGGGAGGCAGCAGUGGGGAAUAUUGCACAAUGGGCGAAAGCCUGAUGCAGCGACGCCGCGUGAGGGAUGGAGGCCUUCGGGGUGUAAACCUCUUUCGCUCAUGGUCAAGCCGCAACUGUGGGUUGUGGUGAGGGUAGUGGGUAAAGAAGCGCCGGCUAACUACGUG